rnacentral:rRNA from 1 species
UACGUAGGGUGCGAGCGUUGUCCGGAAUUAUUGGGCGUAAAGAGCCUCGUAGGCGGUUUGUCGCGUCUGCCGUGAAAGUCCGGGGGCUCAACUCCGGAUCUGCGGUGGGUACGGGCAGACUAGAGUGUGGUAGGGGAGAUCGGAAUUCCUGGUGUAGCGGUGAAAUGCGCAGAUAUCAGGAGGAACACCGGUGGCGAAGGCGGAUCUCUGGGCCCUUACUGACGCUGAGGAGCGAAAGCGUGGGGAGCGAACAGG